rnacentral:rRNA from 1 species
UGGGGAAUUUUGCACAAUGGGGGAAACCCUGAUGCAGCGACGCCGCGUGAUUUAGAAGGCCUUCGGGUUGUAAAAAUCUUUUCUAUGGGAAGAAAAUGACAGUACCAUAGGAAUAAGGACCGGCUAAUUACGUGCCAGCAGCCGCGGUAAUACGUAAGGUCCGAGCGUUGUCCGGAAUCAUUGGGCGUAAAGGGUACGUAGGCGGGUAAGCAAGUUAGAAGUGAAAUCCUGUAGCUCAACUACAGUAAGCUUUUAAAACUGCUCAUCUUAAGAUAUGGAAGGGAAAGUGUAAUUCCUGGUGUAGCGAUGAACUGCGCAGAUAUUAGGAGGAAUACCGGUGGCGAAGGCGACUUUCUGGCCAUAAUCUGACGCUGAGGUACGAAAGCGUGGGUAGCAAACAGG